rnacentral:rRNA from 1 species
ACCGGCGCACGGGUGAGUAACGCGUAUACAUCUGCCUCAUACUAGGGGAUAGCCCAGAGAAAUUUGGAUUAAUACCCUAUAGUGAGUCAUCUCUAAAGAUUACGGUAUGAGAUGAGUAUGCGUUCUAUUAGUUAGUAGGUGAGGUAACGGCUCACCUAGACCGCGAUAGAUAGGGGCCCUGAGAGGGGGAUCCCCCACACUGGUACUGAGACACGGACCAGACUCCUACGGGAGGCAGCAGUGAGGAAUAUUGGACAAUGGGCGAAAGCCUGAUCCAGCCAUGCCGCGUGCAGGAUGACGGCCUAUGGGUUGUAAACUGCUUUUAUACAGGAAGAAAAAACUCUACGUGUAGAGUCUUGACGGUACUGUAAGAAUAAGGAUCGGCUAACUCCGUGCCAGCAGCCGCGGUAAUACGGAGGAUCCAAGCGUUAUCCGGAAUUAUUGGGUUUAAAGGGUCCGUAGGUGGACAAUUAAGUCAGAGGUGAAAUCCUGCAGCUCAACUGUAGAAUUGCCUUUGAAACUGGUUGUCUUGAGUCAUUAUGAAGUGGUUAGAAUGUGUAGUGUAGCGGUGAAAUGCAUAGAUAUUACACAGAAUACCAUUUGCGAAGGCAGAUCACUAAUUAUUGACUGACACUGAUGGACGAAGCGUGGGUAGCGACAGAUAGAAUACCCUGAUAGUCCACG